rnacentral:misc_RNA from 1 species
CCGAGUGUGACCCCCCCGUAAAAAGGGGGGUUCCUCCCGUCCUUUGCGGGCCCUUAGGGGCUUUUAGACUUUGCUUCGGCGGGGCUGCCCCGCCGGAACACCCUCAAGAAAAUCUCGAUAAAAUCGUUCAGUCCGAGAAAGGUUGCUAAAUAAAUAAA